rnacentral:rRNA from 1 species
GUAGGGUGCGAGCGUUAAUCGGAAUUACUGGGCGUAAAGCGUGCGCAGGCGGUUUUGUAAGCCAGAUGUGAAAGCCCCGGGCUUAACCUGGGAAUGGCAUUUGGGACUGCAAGGCUUGAGUGCGGCAGAGGAGACUGGAAUUCCUGGUGUAGCAGUGAAAUGCGUAGAUAUCAGGAGGAAUACCGAUGGCGAAGGCAGGUCUCUGGGCUGACACUGACGCUCAUGCACGAAAGCGUGGGGAGCAAACAGGAUUAGAUACCCUGGUAGUCCACGCCCUAAACGAUGUCGACUGGUUGUUGGGGGUUUGACGCUCUCAGUAACGAAGCUAACGCGUGAAGUCGACCGCCUGGGGAGUACGGCCGCAAGGUUA